CCUACGGGAGGCAGCAGUGGGGGAUAUUGGACAAUGGGGGGAACCCUGAUCCAGCGACGCCGCGUGAGUGAAGAAGUAUUUCGGUAUGUAAAGCUCUUUCAGCAGGGAAGAAAGAAAUGACGGUACCUGACCAAGAAGCCCCGGCUAACUAAGGGCCAGCAGCCGCGGGAAUACGUAGGGGGCAAGCGUUAUCCGGAAUUACUGGGUGUAAAGGGAGCGUAGACGGUUAGGUAAGGCUGGAGUGAAAGGCCGGGGCCCAACCCCGGGACUGCUCUGGAAACUAUUGAACUUGAGUGCAGGAGAGGUAAGCGGAAUGCCUAGUGUAGCGGUGAAAUGCGUAGAUAUUAGGAGGAACACCAGUGGCGAAGGCGGCUUACUGGACUGUAACUGACGUUGAGGCUCGAAAGCGUGGGGAGCAAACAGGAUUAGAUACCCUAGUAGUC
rnacentral:rRNA from 1 species